GACGAACGCUGGCGGCGUGCUUAACACACGCAAGUCGAACGGAAAGGCCUGCUUUCCCUUGUGGAUUGCGGGUACUCGAGUGGCGAACGGGUGAGUAACACGUGAGUGAUCUGCCCCCAACUUGGGUAUAAGCCUGGGAAACUGGGUCUAAUUCCCGUUAGGACUGCAGGGUGGUGCCUGUGGUGGAAAACGUUUUUCUAGUGGUUGGGGAUGAGCUCGCGGCCUAUCAGCUUGUUGGUGGGGUAAUGGCCUACCAAGGCGGCGACGGGUAGCCGGCCGGGGAGGGGGAGCGGCCACGCGGGAGCUGGGACAGGGUCCCGACUCCUGCGGGAGGCAGCAGUAGGGGAUCGUCCGCAAUGGGCGAGAGCCGGACGGAGCAACGCCGCGGGAGUGAUGAAGGUCGCCGGAUCGGAAAACUCGGCUAUGAGGGAAGAACAUAUGUGUAAGUAACUGUGCACAUCGUGACGGUACCGAAUCAGAAAGCAACGGCUAACUACGUG
rnacentral:rRNA from 1 species